rnacentral:rRNA from 1 species
UACGAAGGGGGCUAGCGUUGCUCGGAAUUACUGGGCGUAAAGGGCGCGUAGGCGGAUCUUUAAGUUGGGGGUGAAAUCCCGGGGCUCAACCUCGGAAUUGCCUUCAAAACUGGAUAUCUUGAGUUCGAGAGAGGUGGGUGGAAUUCCUAGUGUAGAGGUGAAAUUCGUAGAUAUUAGGAAGAACACCGGUGGCGAAGGCGGCCCACUGGCUCGACACUGACGCUGAGGUGCGAAAGCGUGGGGAGCAAACAGG